rnacentral:tRNA from 1 species
AGUUAAUAAGCAAUUAAGCGUAUGUUUUGAAAACAUAAGAUAGAAGAUAAAAUCUUUUAUUAACUU